rnacentral:tRNA from 1 species
GGCAGAGUGGCCGAGCGGUCUAAGGCGCUAGUUUAAGGCCUAGUAUCUUCGGAUGCGUGGGUUCGAAUCCCACCUGUGUCA